rnacentral:lncRNA from 1 species
AAAUUGAUGAAUUAUAACAGAUCUAGGUAGAAUUUAUCCACCCCCAUCCCUACCCCCUUUUUGGGUAGAUAACAGAAAUGUGCAAUUCACUGUACUAUGGAGACUGGAAGGUCUACUACAUUUAUUGCUGUGCCAGUUCUCCUUAUAAGUUGUUGUUGCUGCUUUUGUUUUAUUUAUUCUGUCUAUGGGUGUGUUUGUUUUCUGUUUGUUUUUCUGUCUUUCUAGGUAGCCUUAGCUGGCCUGAUACUUGCUAUGUAAUCCAAAUUGGCUUUGAACUCCUAGCAAUCCUCCUGAGUUAACUCUCCGUGUGCUGGGAUUACAGGCUCUGACAAAAUGCCUGGGAGAAACAACUUAAGAGAAAAGGGUCUAUUUUGGCUCAUGUCAAAGGAUCCCAACUACGAUGGUGAGGCAGAUAUUGUGGUAGAAGUGGCUGAGUUAAGUUCUUAGUCUGUGUUGAUGUGAGUACCAAGCAGAUGGUCACUUCAUGAGGAGAAAACAGGGAGCUAGACUGGAUCCAGCGGUAUGUAUGGGAAGCUGCUUCUGUUUGCAAGGCCACAUAUUCCUAGUUCACAGCCUCAUACAACAGUGCCACAAGCUGGUGAGUUUUCAAAUACGUGCACUCCCAGGAACAUAAUAUAUGGAAAUAAUCUUGCAUCUCCUCACUGGUAAUCUUUGUCCGGGUGAACUGGAAGGGUCCUUAGAGUAGGAGUGAGCUGGAUUGCUAAACAGAGUUCCAUUAUUCUCCUAUCAGAUCAAUAAAUUUUCACUUGUUCUGAGGUACUAUUUAUGGAUUAGUAAAAUACCCACAAUAACAUCUACAGACAGAAAGGUAUAGGCUCAGAAAUUAACAGCCUUGAGUUGCAGGUGGAAGGUGCAGAAGCCAAAUUAAAAACAGUCUUUUCAGGCUGAGCUCAGGAGCCUGAAUUUCCAUGCUGUAAGUGGCUGGGAUCCACUGGAGGAUUUUAAUUGUGUAAGUUGACAAGAUCAGAUUUGCUAUUCAGAAAGCACACCCUGGCACAGAUCGGUGGGUGGAAUAGAAAGUGGUUGCCCUGGAGACAGGCAGACCCAUUAGGAAGCUCUGACAAAGAUCCAGGAGAGAGAAAAUGAGGAUAGUGGUUGGAGGAAUGAGCAGAUUCAAAGACAUUUUAGAGGUGGAACGGAUGGUCGGGAGACGCUCAUUCAGUGUAAAUGCUGAAGGAAAGGAAGAACCAAGGAGCGCUGUGGUUUCCAGCUUGGAUUUCUAUAUGGAUAGUGAAUAAUUAAUGAAGAUGUGGCGGGCGGGCAUAAUGGGGACUUAAGAGGGAGGUAGUUGUAGAUGGACGUGAUCAAUAUACAUUUGUUUAAAUGUGUAUAACUUUCAAAGAGUAAGAGAAUUAUUAUUUUAAUAGAUCAAGGUAUAAAAUACAAAAAAAAGUCAAAUGGGGGGGGGGGUUUGCUAAUGAAUUCAUAUGUGACCUGUUGAAUUUGAUGUAUCUUUUGGACUUGUAGGUGAAGAAGUCACAUGUGGUGAAUAUAUUAUCAUCAGAAUGCGGAGCAAUGAAAUGUAAACAGAUAGGAAUCGUCACUAAAGCUCCAACUGCAGCCUCCGGGUGCCAUAGCUUUUGCACCAUCCAUUUGCACCAUCUCUGCAUUGCUCUCAAUCACUGCCACGAGUCUGGUGAUGCGCUAAGCUCGGGGCAGGAUCUCAAGGGCUUUGAGGUAAAUAAGGUACCCUCUGUGGGCUCUGUUUCAAUUAGAUGCUAGAGCAAUUGUCAUCAUUUUAGAGAACAAAGAUACUGUGAUCGAAAACCGUGAAGGCUGCUGUCUAUGUCAUGCUUGUCCCUAGUUUACAUGCAUUUUCCAGAUAACCAAAUCCAAUAAGCCCUGAGUGCACCCUGAUCCCCUCUCCACUCCCGUGUCAGCUCCAAAUGGAUGGAAGAUGACAGGAAGGAACUAGCUGGGACACAGAGCAAAACUUCUAGAGUUAAUGAGACAGUAACUCUCAUCUUAGUUCCUGAUGACUAGGAGCAUAUGAUUUUCCUGAGGGACCUGUUAAACAAGUCCCAUCUCUCUUGAGUUUCAGCUUACAUAGCCAGAAAAUAAAUCCUUUCCCUGUUCCAAGCAAAGUACUAGGACAUCUUGCUUCUCUUGCCUCUACAGACAGCAAGAUGACUUCAUGGCUUUCUCUUUCACCACAGUCACUGGUGCUCAGUACAAAUGAGACUCACCUUAGAAAGAAAGAAAAGAAAGAAAGAAAGAGAAAAAGAGGGG